rnacentral:rRNA from 1 species
UACGGAGGGUGCAAGCGUUAUCCGGAUUUCCUGGGUUUAAAGGGUGCGUAGGUGGGUUGGUAAGUCAGUGGUGAAAUACUUUCGCUUAACGAAGGAACUGCCAUUGAUACUAUCAAUCUUGAAUGUAGUGGAGGUAGGCGAAAUGCGUCAUGUAGCGGUGAAAUGCUUAGAUAUGACGCAGAACACCAAUUGCGAAGGCAGCUUGCUACACUACUAUUGACACUGAGGCACGAAAGCGUGGGGAUCAAACAGG